rnacentral:misc_RNA from 1 species
GAUACGUUACGCGGCGCUGCCAUAAACCCGGUAGCAGGGGGGGGAACAUAAACAUGGUUGGUCGGCGCGCCGGUGCCGGCGGGCGUGGUGCUGCUGCCUCGGUCGCUAAACGCCCUGCUGCCCGCUGCGGCAAAGUCAGUGGACGGCCCACCUCCGCUGCUACCGGCGCCCCCAGCGAGUCGCUCUCAGCGCUUGUACAAGGCGAACGCAGCCAUCGCCGCGACGCCGCCUCUCCGGGAGGAAGUGCCGAUGAGGAGGUGACGCUUGUUUACCGUAAGCCACGCACACGGCACACAAAGCAGUCGACCAGCGCCGAUGAGCCCGCGCAAGCGACUGUCCCAGACAGCUGUGCUGAAGCAGCAUUAGACACGUCCGCGGCUGCCUCUGCUGCCGCUGUUUGUACGCCAGAGAUGGAGGUGCUUGCGUUCUGGCAGCGUGCGUGCGACGAUGUCAACCGCACCCGCGCGCUUUCCAACUGCGGCGUGGCGGACGUGUCGCUGCACUGUGUAGACAGCACCGGGGCCUAUUCGCUGUCCCAGGAGCAGCUCUUCUGCUGCAGUGGGGACCGUAUGGAAACGGCCAGGCGUGCUCUGCACAGCUUGAACGAUCUCCUCUACACCCCUGUCGACACAAGUGCGGCGGCCGGCGCGCCCUGCGCCGGCUACCCUUGUUGGGUGCGACCGGAGCAGUACGCAACGGUGGUGGCACUUGCACGUGUUUGCGAAGCCGCCGUGCCGGUGCACCUUCCGCCGAUGCUGCGCCUGUCUAGCUGCUCAGCCACCGUGUGCCAGCAGAGUUGUAUGAACUUGAACGGAAAAGAGACCACCCCUAUUCGCAGAUCGCCUCUAUUAUGGACCCUCCCUAUCGCCGUUGCCGGUGCCUUGGCCAGACAUGGUUCGGCCGCCCUGUCAGGUGCUAUCGCCUGCGCGCCCGGGACCACCCGGGCCCAAGGAGCCGCAGUGGCAGCACAGGGCAUUGGUGAGCCCACGAUUGACCUGGUUCCCUCGCCAGUGUUACUCGCCGAUGUGCACAAGCGUCUGGGGUAUCUUCGUCGAUUCCAUCAACUGCAAGUUGCGUAUGGCGAGCUUAUCCCAGCGUUCCGCGCGGCGUCGACUUUUACAGAGCUGCGACAAGUCUUCUUCACGCACGACGCGGCAGCGUGCCAGGUGCUAGGCCGCAUGUACCAAGCUUGGAAGGACGGGCCCUACCACGAAGCGCUCGCGGCGGAUCACUCAGGAUACGAGCACCGUCCACCCCAGAACAACGCCGAGGUGAAGGAAGUGCUGUCUUGCUUCCUCGGCAACCCGCUCGUCUUGGACACGCUGCUCCCGUUUGUCGGGAUCACGGCCCGCUACCCGCAGGAGGAGGCGCUCUUGCAAAACUUUGUCGCGGCCCUGAAGGACAUGACAGCUGUGGAGACGGCAUCAUGGGGCCCUGUCGCGGCUAUGGCGUCGUGGCGGUGCACCGACGGCCUUUACGUGGUACACCACGCCUCGCGCGUGCACGUAUUGCGGAGGCUUCUGAAUGAGGCGCAGCUUUACGGACUGCCUCUCUUUUUGCGGUCUAUUCGUGCGAUGGCGGGUAGCCACGCCAGCAGCGGUUUCGCGUCGACGGCGAGGGGGGAGGGUGGCAUCGCGCGGUUGCGCUGCAACGAGCGCAGAGCCUCUACGCAGAUCAGUUCUUCCUCACCCCUGACGCCCUUGACCCGGAUCUCUUCUCCCAACCGGACCCGAUGCAGGCGCAGCUGGUGCAGGAGGAGCUCGUCGCGCUCCAGCGCACGCACUGCGCCUUCUGCCUUGUUGUCGGGGAGGCAGACGAGGUGCUAACGCUCGUGCAACGGCACAUGCGGCACGUCGGCGGCGUUUGGCAGCACUGGGUCAAGAAAGAAGAGGAAGAGCCGAUGCCGGGGGUAAAGGCGGAGCCGCUGGAUGCCCGGGAUCCAACCGACGCGGAUGCGGUGGCGACCGAGCUCAGUAGCGAGGAUGCGGACAAAAGUGGCACCGCGAGCGCCGACGCACCCGGGGUGCCUGCCCUGCUUCGUCCUUGUGCCCCUACGGACCCGCUACGCCGCUACGUCAUCCGCACCGUGGACGCCGCGCGGCGGCAUCAGCGGCACAAAGCGUCGUCUGCUGCCCCUACCGCUGCGACGCCCCUACCCUUCAGCCACGUGCAGUGGAUCGAGCACGGCAGUACUAAUCGUUGGUCGCCGAACGCGAACUACUACGGUCUUGCGUAUAUGGUGGUGCUGGAUACGGAGGAGGAGUGGGCAACGGAGAAUGGCGGCACGCUCGCGACUGAAGGACUGCUGCCGGAGACGGCCAUUGUGAUGAAUGCCGAGAGCAAUACCGCCGCGCUGCGCGAGGCGCAGGCGCCGGCGUACUGCGUGAAUGCAAUCCUCGAGCUGUGGCGUACCUAGGCGAAGGAACGAGUGGCCUUGGAGAGACGGACGCACCGGUGCGUCUGUGAGCGCGCGUCUCCCUUCUGCACCUUUUGACUUGCACACACGCAGACGCGCACACACAGAGACGAGCAUCCAGACACGCCACCGCGUGUUCUUUCAAUCAAACCCACCCCCUCAUCUCCCCUCCACCCUGCUCAUGUUCUCUUCACUAGAGAGUUGUGCAGGGUGUAGAAAGCGACCAGCGAAGCGCCUAUUCUCCUUGGCCGCAUUCACACCUACACGCAUAGAAACGCACGUACCCACAUCCAGACACACACAUAGAAUGGGAAGAAGAGAGCGAAGGGAACAGGGAGAAAAGUACAACACGCCAAACCUCAACAGGCCAAGCGGAAACUGAAGGAUGUGUAGCGCACGCUU